rnacentral:rRNA from 1 species
UGCGUAGGGUGCGAGCGUUACUCGGAAUUACUGGGCGUAAAGCGUGCGCAGGCGGUUCGUUGUGUCUGAUGUGAAAGCCCCGGGCUUAACCUGGGAAUGGCAUUGGAAACUGGCGAGCUGGAGUGUGGCAGAGGGGGGUGGAAUUCCGCGUGUAGCAGUGAAAUGCGUAGAGAUGCGGAGGAACACCGAUGGCGAAGGCAGCCCCCUGGGCCAACACUGACGCUCAGGCACGAAAGCGUGGGGAGCAAACAGG